CCACCUAAAAAAUGAACAUAUAUGAAAGCACAAAAAACAUGAACAAUAUUUAGAAUAUUAGAAAUAUUUGUAAACAGAUGAGGAUCUCGAAUCUUCAGAUUCUCAAUUUAAUAAAUUGCAGAGUUCACAUAAAAGUUAAAAGUAAAGAUUAUUUCAUUACACCCACCCAGCUGGGAACCAGUAACAAAUAGAACAAGAAGUGAACUAGUAAAGACCUAAAUAAAGCGGAAUAUGGUAAAAAGAAAUAAGGUAUAGUAGUGAUUGAAACAUUAGAAAGAACUACAUGUCAUGACAAGUUGCAAAUGACUGCCAAAUAACCAGAAUCUGUUGAACUUUAUUAAUGUGCACAUUACAUAUUCAGAAAAUAUUAGAAAAAUGAUGUUCAAUGCUAUCGGGAUGUUCAUGACAGAUAAAAUUGGUUUGAAAGGUAGUAUGAUUUAGCCUAACCAUAUAUUUCUUAAGAAAAUUAACAAAUAACUUUAAACAAACAACUCAGAAGCAUGAGGUCCGGCACCUAUGUGCAGAAAGUUAAGUAGGAAAAAGCUAUAGUCAAGUUUAAUAAAGGAACCUGGAGAAUUUUGAAACAAAGCGUACUACUCUUUGUAGAACACGAGAACUGGCUUGUGUCAGUAGAAAAAGAGAACAAAAGCUUCAAUGAAAUAUUAGCAAUAUUUACAUCAAACCUAAGUAUAACGGACACGCCAACACGUGAUUUUCCGAAAAAGUAGGACAUAGACACAUCGAUUUAAAUCCUUUGAAAUUUUAAAUUCAUUUAUUGUAUCUUUAUUUUAAUAUUUUUUUAUAUAGGACAUGGUACAUAGCAUGUCUGACACUUGAGUGAAUGGUAUCUCUAAAGUAUCCCUCUAGGUCAGCAAUUAAAAAAAAUAUAAAAAAUGGGACAAGGGCACAUAGCUUGUUUGACACACGUCUUAUGUCCGAGGAGUGUCUAGGUCCGACACAUGCCCACAUAGGAGGAGUAUCGGUGUAUCAUAGCAUCAAACUAUUACCAAAGACAAGCCACCAUCCAUAUAUCAGGCCUACAUUAACAAAUGAGACGUUUCUAAAGUAGCUUAAUAUAGUGAUGAUAAGAAGUGGCUACCUUUAUCUGUGCUGACGGGAAGACUUGCUGCUGAGGGUGGUCGUGCAACAAUCUCCUUCUUGUUGCCCCUUCGAAGGCAAAAAACAAGUCCAAGUAUAACGAAGAGUACUGCAAGUGAAGAUCCUAUAACUAUACCUAUAAUAGGUCCAGUAUUCAACCCAUUCUUUUUAUUUCCGUUGUGUUGAUUAGGAAGUGGGCGAUCAGAAUCCGGAGAUUGGCCAGGCGGAGGGCGAUUUCUGUUAUUGCGAGAGCUAACUGGAGGCGGCGAGGUGUACGGCGGUGGCGGUGGAGCUGGGCCAUUGGCAAAUGCAUUUCCAUCAUAACUGUUUUCGAUAUACAAGGCACACUAACAAAAUAAGAUCAUUAUAAUUACACAAGAUAUUGAAAUGCAUGCAGUCACUCACAUAAAUUUAGGCAUAGAGCUUAGUUCCUUUGGUAUCCACCCACUAAAUUGGUUGUUGGCAACAUUUCUGCAGAAAAUAAUAUCAGCAAGAAUAUUUACAUGAUAUCCUAAAUGGUAUCAGGAAUCUAAAUGGGAGAGCGAAGAGUAGGGGAGAGAUCUUUACAAGUUAGUCAAAGGCAAACCAACUAAGAUGUUGAGAGAACCAGUAAGUUGGUUGUUUUGCACAUGGCUGCCAAAAGACAAAUAUUCAGACGAAUUAAGCAAUGAACACAACGCCCACAAAAGAGAGGUCCAGUAUUCAACCCAUUCUUUUUAUUUCCGUUGUGUUGAUUAGGAAGUGGGCGAUCAGAAUCCGGAGAUUGGCCAGGCGGAGGGCGAUUUCUGUUAUUGCGAGAGCUAACUGGAGGCGGCGAGGUGUACGGCGGUGGCGGUGGAGCUGGGCCAUUGGCAAAUGCAUUUCCAUCAUAACUGUUUU
rnacentral:lncRNA from 1 species